rnacentral:lncRNA from 1 species
UAGACAUAACAUAAAUAGCUAGGCUUACAAGAUCAAUAUGAGCCACAUCUCAUGGCCAUAUACAUAUAACUCAAUUUAAGCCAACACAUUUGGCCAAAGCAAAAUAAUAUAUGUCAAUCAACUAGAUCUCUAUACAUGGCACUCACUUGAAAAUUCUAAUAUAUACUUCAUUAUUCCAAAGGUAGUGACUUGAUAGUGUGAUGCUGCCUCCGACGAUCUCCAACUCCGAGCUAACCUGAAAACACUAAAGGAAAGGAAAGGAAAAGAGUAAGCUUUAUAGCUUAGUAAGACCGUAUGAAAAUAAUAAGCAAUUUAACAACUUGCUUCUCAUGGUAAUACAACCCUAUUUGCAUUUUUACUCAUGUUCCAGUCAAGCUGUUUUCUCGAGUCAGAGUCACUAAAUUAUUUAUAUCUAGAGAUAAAGAACUCCAAAUUAAGUUUCGCUAAUUUCACCUGAAACUAGACUCACAUAUCUUCUUACCAUAAAAUUUUUAGAAUUUUUGGUUCAUCCAAUUAGUACAUUUUAUUCCUUAAAUUUACCCUUUUUCGCUAAAAAUUAAUUAUCUCAUAAUACAAGACUCGGAUGAUGUUCUAGUUUGUUUAUAUUGAAAAUAGACUCAUUAAGAAUUCUAUGUAUAUAAAUUAUAACUCAUUAAUAUUUUUUUUACAAUUUUAAAUGAUUUUCUCAAAUCAUAACAGGGGAUUUCGAAGUCAUUCUGACUCUAUCUCACAACAAUUUAAAUAUUUCAUAAUAUGAAACUCUUUUGCUUACACCGUUUCUUCUAUGUGAAAUUAGACUCAUUAGGCUUUAAUUUCAUUUAUUCAACUUGUAGCUCAAUUUUCACAAUUUUUGGUGGAUUUUCAAUGUAACACCCCAAACCCGGCCCAGACGUUAUGACUGGAUCCGACAUGCCACAUCGAAGUGUUCAAAACAUUUUAUAUUGUUGAUCCAGAAAAACUUACUUAGUGUUUUAAAAGAUAAUUUCAUUAUAGGUUAAAGUGAAUGGAAGCUGUGCACCAGGUAGGAAACCGGAAAAGAGCUGGUGAGUCCAUCGGACUGCUUAAGUACCAAGCUCCCUUCAGAUCCAAUCCUAAACAUGCAUACCGCCAUUGCCACACCUUAACGUCAUGGAUAUUUCUAGGAAACCAAUUUGAUUAAGUCAUUUUUAGAAAAAGUGAUUAAUUUUGGAAAAUACUUUCAUUGCGGAAUCUUUGCUUAUUAUCGUGUUAUUUUGAAAUCAAUUGUUGUUUUUGAAAACGCGCCCUAAAGCUAUCCAAUUUCAACAGUUAAAAUAAGUAAUACCUAUCUUAGUAAUACAUAUUAAAACCAUCAAAAAUAAUUAAGCGGCCUUAUUGCAACUUAAAACCCAAAUCAUAAAAAUAAAAGAAAAGAUGUCUAAUUCACCGGAAGAAAACAGGAAUUUGCAGAACGUGUGGCCACUCCGAAUUCCCUCACAGCUCCAAGCCCACUAUGGUUGGGGUUUACCUACGUGGAUGAAAAAUAAGGGGUGAGUUUGGGAAAACUCAGUGUGUAAAAUAACCCAACCAUAGUCUAAAUCAUCUCAACCCACAGAAACAGAAUAAGUUUGCCUUAGCCCAGAACAAAAAUUCAGAAUAAAGCCCAUAGGCCCAUAACAGAAAAGAACAGAUAUUACAUGUUUAUGCAGAAACCCAACCCAGAUUCAUCCAUAACACCCCCGUACCAACCUUACACCAUGUGGGGAGACUACUCGACCCACCCAACCGCUACACACCUCAGAAAUCGCAGUGAGGCUGCCAGAUAUUGUGAUGAAGUCACCAGAUACAGAUAUUGUGGCAGAGCCACCAGAACAGAUAUAUGUAGUAGAGCCACCAAAUCAGAUAAUUGUGGCAUAGCCACCAGGACAAAUAUAUGUGGCAGAGCCACCAGAUCAGAUAAUUGUGGCAUAGCCACCAGGACGCUUCCUCCAUAGUAUAACCCAAGUCCCCAUGCAACAGAUAUAUAAUCAUGGCAUACAUCAUACAGAAUCAGAUCGUCAUGCUUUUCAGUCAAAAGUAACCCUAGGGGUAUAAUGGUAAUUUUGCAUACAUAGGGGUAUUCAAGUAAUUUAACUAUUCUUAAGGUUUUCAUACAUAACAUAGCCAUUUACGUACGAUCAGAAACACUUACCGCAUUUUCUUAAAAAUUUGGGCCCGUUGGCCUAUUAUCCCGUUUUUGGCCCAUUAAGCCCAAAAAUAUCGAUAUGCACAGAAUCGCGCACUCUGCAGUCUUAUCACUUUAAUUUACCAUAUACAUCAAACUAUUAAUCUCAUGAGCAUUCACACACUCGCAAGAUCUCAAAAUACCGGCUUUUCGGCAUUUCGGCUUUUCGGCUUGUGCCGAUCUAGUCUAUAAGAGGGUGUUAGUUACACACCUGUUUGCGACGAUAUGCUGACGAGAUCCACACACGAAUUGUCUACAAUUGUAUUACUAACACGUUAAUCUAACUAUUCAAAUACGAACUACGUAUUAACCCCUUACAAUAUUCGGCCAACCACACCUACAGAUCAUAGUAAGCUUAUAAGAAAUCAAUAAGCAACUCAUUAACAAUUUUUUGUCAAUGUUUACCACAUAAUCAAAAUUUUACUGCAAGCUGUCUUCCUGAGCAACAGUCACUAAAUCAUUUAUAACUGGAGCUACGAAACUCCAAAUCAAAUGCCGUUAAUUUUCCCUGAAAAUAGACUCAUAUAUCUUCUAUCCAUAAAAUUUUAAGAAUUUUUGGUUUAGCCAAUUAAUACCAGAUCUUUCUUAAAGUUUCCCAUGUUUCACUGUUUGACUAAUCUGACCACUCUUCAUUACGAAUUAAAUUUCUCAUUGUAAAGAAUUCAAAAUAUGUUCUUGUUUAUUCCAUUUGAAACUAGACUCAUUAAGAUUUAAUUACAUAAUUUAUUCAGCUUCUAACUCAUCUCCCACAAUUUAUGGUGAUUUUCCAAAGUCACGUUACUGCUGCUGUCCCAAGCAGAUUUAUUACCAAAUCACUCUUUCACACCUAACUUGCAUGUUUGUUAUUUAAACAUGUAUAUCACCAAUCAAUCAUCACAUAUCUAUGAUUUUACUUAAGUAUAAUCUCCAUUUCAUCAUUUUAAAGCACAACAUGUUAGCCGAUUUUUCCCCUUAGCAUCUAAGGCACAUGCAUGUUCAUUUGUUUGGCUCAACUUCACCUAUCUUCUAUUUUUCAUCAAAAGAACAUGAAACAACAACCAUUUCCUUCAUUUUAAUUCAUGACCAAAUGCUCACAACACAACCAAAAACCAAAGUAUGCUUCAAGAGUUAAGGUAGAAUCAAGAAGAACUCAUGAACAUCAGGAUAAAAGCAAACUACCAUGAACUUACCUUCAAUUUUCUUCCCCAAGUGACCAAACAUUCAAGAGCUUUCUCCUCUCCUUUCUCUUCUCUAACUUUCGGCUAUGAUGAACAAAGAUGGACAAAACUUUGUUCUUUUCACCCCUUUUUCUUUUAAUAAAAUUUCAUAUUUCAUCCAUUUAAUUCUUUAAUACAAAAGACAUGAAAUGCCCAUCAUGGAACAUUUACCUAACCCAUUAUCAUGGAAUAUUUACCUAACCCAUUAUCAAUUUUUAUCAAUUUGUACCAUAAAUUAUGGAUAUCAAGUGCACAUAUUGUCUACAACAACAUGAUGGCUGGCCACUUCAUGUAAAAUGGGAGGUUUGUCAUGCAAAUCCUCCUAUUUUGCACUCCUAUUUAUUUGGCCACUUCAAUUUAGCCUAUAGCAUUUUCAAACAUUUUCACAUAGGUUCUAUUUCAUAAUUUCACCUCCUUUUUCUUAUGGAACAAAAAUUAACUAAAAUUGUCGGGUUCUAUCUUAAGCUUGGGCCUUCUAGAGGCCCACUAACAUAAUUAAACCUAUGCCAACAUUCACAGAAUUCCCGAAAAUUGGGGCGUUACAUUCAAAUUCGGACUAUGGCUACUAUCCAAAACUGUUUUAGUGUAAAUUAACGAUACUAAGUUUAUCACACCAAAUUAAUUCACUUUCACCAUAUUGGUAAGGUUACAUAUUCAUACAUCAUAAGUAUAGACCUAUAAUCACAAGGUCAUCACAAAAUCAUUCUUAUAAGCCUAAAUUACCUAUUUACAUCUUCACUAAAGGUGCAUCAUAAACUAAAAUCAUUUCUCAUGAGCUUGGCAUACAUACAUGUGUUACUCAACAUGCUCAUUUUCAUUUCAUACUACUCUUAUAACAUGAAUUGAAUUCACAUCUCAUCAAUUUCAUGUAAGUACCUGUACCACUCACAAUAUGGUCAUAACCUUUCUCAUUUAGCUUAAACCAUAACUCUCACCGCUGAACCAUUCAGAAAGCUAUCGGAUAUUCACUAAGCCUCAAAAAUAGGGUAUAAUGCCGAUGCCAUGUCCCAGACAUGGUUUUACACGGGCUCAUCCAUCAAGUCGAUGUCAUGUUCCAGACAUGGUCUUACACUGACUAUCGAAAUCGAGGCCGACGCCAUGUCCCAGACAUGUCUUACACUAGCUCUCAUCUCAAUGCCAAUGCCAUAUCCCAGACAUGGUCUUACACUGGCUCACAAAUAACCCGAAUGUCAUGGCAUAAAUAUCUGAAUUGUUUCUUAAGGUUCAAACGGGAAUUCUACUAUCUCAAUAUUCAUCAAACAUAAUCAUUUCCACAACCAAGCAAUUCAUGCUAUAUCAAUUUAAACACAUAUAAUAACAAUGUAGUUGUAUUAUUUACAUACAACUUACUCGUUCCAAUGGAAUAUCAUUUCCAUCAAAUCUCCAAGCAUUCAAUCAACACAUAAAUGUUAUUUACAUUUGACAUUACUUUCUCAUAUACAAAAUCAUCAAACUAAACUUUAAUACAAUCAUGGAAAGAUAGAUUUUCAAGUAUAAUAACAAUGGCAUAAAUAUCAUGCUCAUUUAAUCACACGGACUUACUUCAAAUGCAAUUUCAGCUAAUUAUUCUCUUUUUGUCUUUAACCACGCACUUUCUCGAUUUAAGCCCAAAUCUCGAUUUUCUUGAUCUAAAAUAACAAAAGUUCACAAAUUUAAUCACUUUAUCGAUCUAGGUAUUCAAUAACCUAUAUUUGGGUAAAAUAACCAUUUUGCCCCUAGAGUUUUGCAAAAUGACCAUUUUACUCCUAAGUCCGAAAAUUAAUUUUUAUCGAAUUUCUUCACAUCUUAAACUUAUCCGAACCCUUUUUACUCUCAUAGCAAAUCCAAUUUUCCACUAUUUCACAUACUUAACAUCUAUUUUACAACUUAUGCAAUAUAGUCUUUUUAGGUGUUUUCAUACUAACACCUUUCACAAAAGUUGUUUAUAAGACACCCAAGACUCAUUUUCUUCCAUAAAAAUUCAGCAAACAACAUAAAUCCUUUCAUGGCAAAUCCCUAAACUAUCAACCAUUUCACAAAAUAGUCCCCUCAUUAGCUAGUUCAUGCUACAAGGGUUCCAAAAGUACAAAAAUUAUCAAAAAUAGACAUCUAAAUCACUUACUUGCAAAGAAUAUAAGUGGCUGAUAUUUUGAGCUUUCCAAGCCCC